CAGAACUCGCCUUCUUCUUACACUGGAAAAAAAAUUUUAAAAAAAUAAAAAACGAAGACUAUACAAUGAGAGCACAAUCUGUACACACCUUAAUCUGUAAACAAAAGAAACUAAUCUAGCAACCAAUAAAACCUAGACACAGGACUGGCACACCUUUUCCAGGGCGUGGUGAGCAACUGUGAGAGGUGGGGUUUGCAAGUUAGAGAACUCACCUUGGGCUUGUUCUCUCUUGCAAAAGGACAGCGACUACAAACUCUUUGAUAGUUCUGGCUGUGAAGGCUGGCUCUGGCUUCAGCUCUGCCACUGGAUAGCAUCCACAAACCCAAAUGAAGACGUUUCAAAUUUUCACAGCACACAAAAAUCCAAAUUGUUGGGGUUGGGGGCCAAAUUAGCGGCUGCCGGGCUGAUGGUGAACACAGACCUUUGCAGGUGCCACUG
rnacentral:lncRNA from 1 species